CUGUAUUUAUAUUAUAAUUUUAAUAACUUGUAUCUGUGUCUUUGACCUUUUAUACAGAUCAAUACUUCGUCUUAUUGUUUAUUUAUUAUCAUCAUUAUUUAUCCUCAACAUUUCGAUCUUGCUCGACUAAAACGAAUACUAAAGUUAUUAAUGUAAUUUAUUCCGAAAGUGUAACAUUUCCCCUCCGAGGCGGCAGGUGGCGCUGCCGUUCAGAGGCUGCUGUGUCCUACACAAGAAGAAGAAGAAGAAGAAGAAGAAGAGAGAGAGUUGUUGCUGUGAGCAGGGUGAGGACGUGUUCAGCUGUUUAAACUGUGUUUCCUGUGUUUGUUAGCAGUAGUUUGGUUCAGCUCCGGGUCUCUUCACCAGCACAGGACCUUAGCUAGCUGCACGUUAGCUAACAGGAACGGUGCUGCCUCUCCCACGCUCUCUGUUAGCGUUGAGUUAGGAGGUCCUCUGUUACCGUGGAGACCGCUGUUACCAGGGAGGACCACACUAAGGUCGCCAUGGCGAACAAGACGGAGCUCGAAGCCUCAGACCAAACCUCUCCUGAUGAAGAACUCACAAAGCCCGCUGGCCGUCGUCCCCGCCGCAGAGCCGCUGCCACCACCCUAGGUAGACGGGGUCAGAGAGGAAAGAGGCGGGGCCCCGGCGAUAAAAGGUGGGGUCUGAAGGAGAAGAAGCGGGGCCAGGAAGAGAAGAAGGAGGGCGUGACGGUGAAGAGGACUUGCAGCGAUGGGAAGCGGCGGUGGGAUAAGAAGCAUUACUGCGUGUUCUGUCGGCGACCACAAGUGAAGAUCGCUCGUCACCUUCUGAGGAAACACGGCGACCAACAGGAAGUGGUGGCCGCGAGCAAGCUGCUGACGGGCUCCAAACAACGGCACCUGCUGUUGGAGCAUUUACGCUGCAGGGGCAACUACAUGCACAACAUUGAGGUGAUCAGACAGGGCACCGGAGAGAUCGUCCCGUGGCGUCAGCCCUCAGAGGAAGUUGAUGCGAGGAACUACCUUCCCUGCCCACUCUGCCUCGGUUUUUUCCUUCGCGCUGAUCUCUGGAAACAUCAGGCCUCCUGUCGUAAGAAGAUGACCUCUGACCCCGCUGCAGAGACGACCUCUGACCCCGUGAAGGACACGUCCUCUGACACCACGGGAGACACAACAGAGCAGACCAGGACCAACCGGCCCGUGACCUCUGACCCCAGUGUAGAUCAGAACGUGACCUCUGAUCCUGAGGCGGACCGGCCCAGGAAGCGCAGCAGGGUCCAGGCUGCAGCGUCCCGCCUCCUUCCCAUUUCGAGCGGAGCGUCUGAGAGCUGCAGCGAAGUCCUGCAUCGCAUGAACCAGGACCAGGUCUCGCACCAGGUAAAAUCUGAUUGGUUGAUCUGUAAAUACGGAAACAAGUUGAUGGGGAACCAAGAUGGCAGCCAGAGGAGGUACGACUACGUCAGUCAGAAGCUGAGGGAGCUCGGCAGGUUCCUCCUCGCUGCUAAAUCUUUGGACUCUGGUGUCCAGACCCUCCAGGACAUCCUGGCUCCGGGGCGCCUCAGCCUGGCGCUGACCGCUGCCAGAAAGGCGUCUGGAUACCGGUGGAGCCGGCCUCCACUGGCGGUGAAGACCACGCUGAAGACGGUUUGUGAAAUUGCCAUCGGAGAGAGUCUGCAGGACGGAGACUGGGAGGCUGCAGCCAAGACCACCGACUUCUACCACCUGCUGGGGAAGGAGUGGGACAACCUGGGACUGCUGAACCCCGACCCCGACACAGCUAAACUGAAGAAACCAAGAAGUGCAAAGUGUGACGAGCAGUCUGACACAAGACCAGAGGUUCCAUCACAGAGCAGUAACCGACCGGUGACCUCCAUGAUUCCUCCAGAGUCCAGGCUGCAGACACCUGCCACAGUCCCUGUGGCUCCCAGGAAGGUCCGACGUCGCCCAUGGUCGUCUGCAGAGAAGGAAGCGGUCUGGAGACAGUUGGGAGUCCACGUGCUUGUCCAGUCAGUACCGGGGAAGGAGGUCUGUCAGCGCUGUCUGGACCUGGAGCCUGUCCUCAGAGGGCGACACUGGAAAGACAUCAAGAACCAGGUCCACAACCAGAUCCAGAGCCAAAAGAAGCAGCAGUUCCAUGCCCAGAUGGACCUUCAGGAGAACCAGGACCAACAACCAGACCAAAUCCAAAACCAGAAGAAGCAGCAGCAGCAGUACCAGGCCCAAAUGGAUCACCAGGACCAGGACAACAUUCAGAACCAGAAGAAACAUCAGUACCAUACCCAGUUGGAACACGAGAACCACGUUCAAAUUCACAAAAAACAGCUGUGCCAUGCUAGACUGGACCACCAGGACCACCUUCAGAUCCAUAAAAAACAGCUGUACCAGAUGGGCGAGCAGACCCAGGGUCUGCAGACCGCCCUGGAUCGGGACACUUCUAUGCUGACGGGUACACCUUAUCGAGCCCCUGGACAGUCCCUGCUGGAGCGGGACCCCACAUAUCUUCCACACAGGACUCUGGGGCCUCACAUGGACCAGCUGCUGUCCAGGACAGAGUGGGCUGACGAGUCUUUGGCACAGCAUUACUCCGUCAGCAGGCAACUGGAAAGGAACCUGCUCCAGGACGCAACCCAGGGACAGCCGCCCAACCCUCACUCUGGACAUGUCCUCUUCUGAUGGACACUGAGCACUGAUAACGAAGCAUAAGGCCUUUAAAGUGUUUUUCUACUAAUGGGGACAAUUUCUUUAUUGGUCCAGUAUUGAGCGAGAGCGCUGCAGCGUAAUCCUGUCGGGCUAAAGCUUUUAUUCCUCUGUAGGUCGUCAGACACGGAGAAUAACAAUCUGAGCUCUCGGAACACUUUUAGUGGACGUUGAUGAAGUCUUACACUGCAGCGCUCUCUCUCAAUACUCGUCCCCAUAAGUCACUUAGAAAACACGGUCCAGGCUGGAGAAUACCAGUUCCCCUUUAAGUCCUCCACUACAAAAACUAAACAACCCGUAAUUUAAAUGUGUUUUAUUUAUUUAGCCAUACUGAUAUUUAAAAGUCACCACAUGUAAAAGUAUAUCGAUAUUAUCUCCACUCUUUCCAUUACUGUCUGUCCCACAGCUGAACUCGGUACCAGUGUUUGUCCCGGUGGAGUGUGUAACCACGUGUGUCUGAAACGUUCUGGUUAGUUCCUGUAGUGGAAAAUAUGCUCAACAAUUAACCAUAUCUUUUUUUAAAUUGCAAUAUGGACUCGUGCAAUAUCCAAAUUGCUAAAUAUCUGAAUUAAGUAUUGUGUUCUAUCUUUGUUUGGUACAGAUCCUUUUUUUUCAAUGGAAAUAAUGAUGCAAAAAUGUUGUGAAUCAUAUUCCGAUAUCAGUCAAGACAAAAAACAAAUGUCCGAUAUGUGUAACCCUUUGUACUGUUCUCAGUUAUUAUUCCUCCUCAUGACCAGCUCUGCACGGAAACCCCUUCGGUAUUUAUCACCAGUAGAUGGCGGGCUCAUCUCUCAUUUGGAUUCAACACAAAGUUCAACCCUGAAUUGUCUUUCACAACCAGGAUCUGCUUUCUCCCAUCAUGCAUCACACUUUGAAUCCACAGGUCCUUAAGUAUUCAGACUUUGUUCUUUAUUCGUUAAUUACCACAAUGCUUGACGCGAGCUCCCAUGAUUUGUUGGAAGAAAGAGGUAUAAAAUGUACUAUAAGUAUUAUAGUUAUAAUCAUUUGACCAUAGAAUAAAAAAUACAUUUAAAUAUUUAUCUACAUAAAGACAUUUUAUUUUGACGAUUGUCUAAUAAGUUUUUAUGAACAGAAUCCUUAAACUUUUUAUAAAAGCGAUAUGUUUUAUAAGUAUUGCACCUUUAACUAGAAGAGCAGAUGUUAAUAUUCACAGUGAAUCCAACAUGUCUGCUCAUUAUUGUCAGUUAUUAUUCUAACCCUGUGAAAAAACAAUAUCUAUAAAUUAUUAUAUAUAUAAAUUCACGGGUAAACACGAGACAAAUGUUUCUCUGGAGAUAUCAAAGAUGAAUGUUCAGUAAUUUAACAUUUAAAUCAGCAACAUUACAAACAUGCUCAGCGCCAGAGGUCAAAUAAAGCACUUUAAAGUGUGUUUAAUCCCGGGGCGGGUCGCGAGCUGAUUGGCCCGGCGUAGAAAUCAUCUUAGAAAUUAAAAAAGUGAAGUUAAUAUUUAUGACCGACACGAGAUCAAAGCUCUUCGUGCUGGCGCGAGACACACGUGAGUGACGUCAUCACAGUGGGC
rnacentral:lncRNA from 1 species